UCUGGAGCUAGGAAACAAAUCCAAUUAAAAUAAACGAUUCGAGAAGAUUUUUAUUUCUGAAAGUUAUGAAAAAUGUCUUUAAUAUAAAAAUCGAGUGUCUGCAUUUUAUGAACCACCCUGUACUUAGACUCCAAUGUAUUUUCAGUACUUGCCUUUUCACAUAUUAAAUGGCUAUUAAAUGCCCAUGUGUUGUAAAUUAAAUUUCAGAAGAUAUUAGAAUAGGAAAUAAAAAUGAAAAAAAAAAAAGCUGAAGCUACACUUUCUCUUUCCUAACAGAACCUCAAUUUUGUUUGGGUAUCUACUCCACCUCCAGCUCCACAUGGAAUGGCUAUUUGCUGAUGGAAUCAAAAUACAGCAUUUCUCUUGGCUAUUCUUGUCCAGAAAAUGAGAAGACCUGGAAAAACUGAACCCAUAUUCCCACAUAAGCCUAGCAGUUGGGUUACGGCCAAUAAAUUCUCACCAUCUCAGUUGGA